rnacentral:rRNA from 1 species
GGACUACCGGGGUAUCUAAUCCUGUUUGCUCCCCACGCUUUCGCGCCUGAGCGUCAGCAGUCGGCCAGGGCACUGCCUUCGCCAUUGGUGUUCUUCCGGAUCUCUACGCAUUUCACCGCUCCACCCGGAGUUCCAUGCCCCUCUCCGACGCUCAAGCUCACCCGUCUUCCAGAACCUCUCCGAGUUUAGCUCGGAGCUUUCACCUGGAACGCGGCAAGCCGCCUGCGCGCCCUUUACGCCCAGUAACUCCGGACAACGCUCGCCUCCUACGUAUUACCGCGGCGGCUGGCAC